GUGCUCACUUCAGCAGCACAUAUACUAAAACUGGAACGAUACAGAGAAGAUUAGCAUGGCCCCUGUGCAAGGAUGACAUGCAAAUUCGUGAAGCGUUCCAUAUUUUU
rnacentral:snRNA from 1 species